GGAGUUAGCCGGUGCUUCUUCUGUGAGUGAUGUCCUUCCUGCCGGCUAUUAACCCGCAGGCCUUCUUCCUCACUGAAAGUGCUUUACAACCCGAAGGCCUUCUUCACACACGCGGCAUGGCUGGAUCAGGGUUGCCCCCAUUGUCCAAUAUUCCCCACUGCUGCCUCCCGUAGGAGUCUGGGCCGUGUCUCAGUCCCAGUGUGGCUGAUCAUCCUCUCAGACCAGCUACGGAUCGUCGCCUUGGUGAGCCGUUACCUCACCAACCAGCUAAUCCGACAUAGGCUCAUCCGAUAGCGCGAGGCCCGAAGGUCCCCCGCUUUCCCCCGUAGGGCGUAUGCGGUAUUAGCCUGGGUUUCCCCAGGUUAUCCCCCACUACCGGGCAGAUUCCUAUGCAUUACUCACCCGUCCGCCGCUCGCCACCAGGGAGCAAGCUCCCCGUGCUGCCGCUCGACUUGCAUGUGUUAGGCCUGCCGCCAGCGUUCAAUAUGAGCCAGANCAACAACUGACUACGAGCGGCGNGCGACGACGC
rnacentral:rRNA from 1 species